rnacentral:rRNA from 1 species
CAAGUCGAGCGAACAGAAAAGGAGCUUGCUCCUUUGACGUUAGCGGCGGACGGGUGAGUAACACGUGGGCAACCUACCUUAUAGUUUGGGAUAACUCCGGGAAACCGGGGCUAAUACCGAAUAACCUCCUUUACUUCAUGGUGAAGGACUGAAAGACGGCAUCUCGCUGUCGCUAUAGGAUGGGCCCGCGGCGCAUUAGCUAGUUGGUGAGGUAACGGCUCACCAAGGCGACGAUGCGUAGCCGACCUGAGAGGGUGAUCGGCCACACUGGGACUGAGACACGGCCCAGACUCCUACGGGAGGCAGCAGUAGGGAAUCUUCCACAAUGGGCGAAAGCCUGAUGGAGCAACGCCGCGUGAGUGAAGAAGGUUUUCGGAUCGUAAAACUCUGUUGUAAGGGAAGAACAAGUACAGUAGUAACUGGCUGUACCUUGACGGUACCUUAUUAGAAAGCCACGGCUAACUACGUGCCAGCAGCCGCGGU